AUAUAAAUUGUACUCUUUGCUCAUGUUGUUGUUCUGAAAGCAUAUAUUGAUCAGCCAGGUGCUUCAACUUCGUCCUUAACCUGAAGAAUAAGUAAACAAAAUCCACUGAUAUUGACGAAGGACCUCCGAAAUAUGUAAGAAUAUAGUUUGCAGAGUGUGACAGAGCGUGUUCAUGAUGAUUUUUUUUACUUUUUGUGUAACAAAACGAUAUGUAUGAAAUAUAUAUUCUAUAACACUUCCUACUCCACUACAAUUGAAAACUGUGGGGAUUACGUUCUUUGGGCUUACAUCUCAUUUUCUUUUAGUUGUGAGAGGCUUUCAUCCUUUUGCUCGUCCAACUUAAUGCUCACAUCCUAUUAACCAAAGUGAAUUUAGUAAGGUCAAGAGUAUAGCAGAAAAAAAAAGGAUGGUUUCAUUUUUACAAGUUUCUGAAUAUUGCAAAAGCCUACAAAGUAAUCAAAUUAAUGUUCUAUCAGUCUGUUACAGAGUCUCCAUCUACGUGAAACUAACAUGUGCCAGCCAAUAUUAUUGCGGAAUUUCACAUGUUAAGGAAGAAGAAAAAGGAUAGAUUAUUUCCCUGAGCAAAUAACUCAGAAGAUUAAAGAAGACACUAAGGAAUAGAACGAGAUGCAUCAGGAUUUGCCUACUGAGGAAGGAUAAACAAAGCUAUUAAACAUCAGUCCUUCUUACUACCAAAUACCAAUACCAGUGGCAAAAUUUCUUAAACUUUGUAACCAGCAACAAAGAUCAAAACACUAGGAAGAAUUCAAAUGUUCAUCUAACCUUAAUCGCUUCCUGGAACUUGGUUGAUAAAUCUGAUCUUAAAGUCUGCCCCUCAGUCGAAACCCGCUUGCAUUCUUCCUGUGAUACAAAGGAACAACAACAAGACAAGACACUCUAUAACGCAAACAAAGUAGAG